AAAGGAACUAGAAGAAGCUUGUGACACCAGAUUAUACAUACACAGAUUUCAACUUUGCCAGUAAAAAUUCAGGGCAGAUGUUCUAGGACAAGAAGUAGAAUGUCGGUCCACAGAAACCCCGAUAAAAAUACAAUAAGAAAGAGCCCAAGACGAUAACCAGUUUUGGUACCAUUUUCAAUAACAGUAGGAACAUGGCCAUCCCUUGGGCUCUCUAGACUAAAAAAGGUGACAAGCGAUGGUCUGUGGAACGCGGAAGACCAGCUCUAGCUCCCAAGGCUCUGCAUUUAAUAGCUGCCACUUGAGCAGCAAAUGGCAACAUUUUCUCCGGUGGCAUGUUGGCACAGAUAGAAUAAAGAACUGCACCAAUAAAUGCAUCUCCAGCUCCAGUUGUAUCAAUUAGUUCUGUUUCAGGUAUCCUUUCAGCUGUCCCCACAAGUAGCUUACCGGUGAUUGUCCCUAUCCCUUUUGCAUGUAGUCUUGCUACAUUCGAGGAUAUGCAUGCAGGCAAUGUUGCAUUAGUGUCUUUCUCCAGAUUCAGUUUUUCGAACAGGUCUUCGACAUCCAUUUCUUCAGGGAGGAGAUUGUCCAUUUCAGUCCUUUGUAGCAUUAUGCAGCCAUCUUUACCCAAUGUCACAAUAACAAAUUUAACUUUUGGCAACCUUAAGAGCAUGGAAACAAGGGCGGUGGGAAUAGAAGAAGCCUCAGUCCAUUCCUGAGGAAAUUUGGUUGAGCACACAACAUAACUUGCAAAGUUUAAAAGAUAAUCCAAUCCUUCCCUUUUCCUCUCAGCGUCAAUUAAAAUGGGUAUGCCCCUUCUAUUUGCCUCCUCUGCUACAAUAGCAGCAGUUUCAUGCAAUCUCCCAUCGAAAUGGACAAGUUUAGCACCAUCCAAGGCCGACAAUAAAUUUGAUUGGGAAAGAUCAGAGGGUAUCAUGGGUGGAUAGCCAGGGGUGUGAAUGCAAGUGCGAGUCUUCGUUUGGUUGUCAACAAUGAUGUAGGUAAACGGUGAAUUUCCCCCUUCUGACACCACCAUAAAAGACGAAUUUACACCAUCAGCUUCUAG
rnacentral:misc_RNA from 1 species